rnacentral:lncRNA from 1 species
AGGUUUCAAAUUGUCAUCUCUACUUCAACAUGAGAAUAGUUUUGAUAGUUUAAAUAAGUAUUCUUCUUUAAUUGCAUUCAUCAAUUUUUUCUGAGUUAGCUUUACUUAAGUUACCUUUGAACGAGGUUUAACUACAAAAUACAAAUCUUACAUAUAGUCAGGAUUGACUAUUCAUAUUAAAAAUCACCAUGAAAAAAACGCAGACCAAACAAAAGAGACAAUAUAAUCAAAACCAGUCCCAAAAUGAAAUAUGAUCCAUUUCCACAAAAUGGUUCCACCCAAUACCAAGAAAACUAAAUGGUGACUAAGGGAACGAGUGAAAAUAGUGAAUUCAUUAUCAUUCAUUACAAUUUUAUACCAUUUACAAUGAAUAUCUAUUACCUAUGAUUCCUUAACAUUUUUGAUAAAGGAAUAUAUUUUCUUCAUUUUUUUCCCUUUUCAUUCAUUUUUUUCUCAUUCUUAGUAUUCGUUUAAUCGGUAUCAGUUAGAGCCUAAUAUAUUUCAUUUCAUAACUACUUGCGAAGGAACGCCAGAACAACCCGAACACAUGUAACUCAAAAAAAAAUC